rnacentral:rRNA from 1 species
UAUACUUGGGAGUCAGACUGUGGGUGAUAAGAUUCAUAGUCGAAAGGGCAACAGCCCAGAUCGUCAGCUAAGGUCCCUAAAUGUAAGUUAAGUGGUAAAGGAUGUGGGAUUGCACAGACAACCAGGAUGUUGGCUUAGAAGCAGCCACUCAUUCAAAGAGUGCGUAAUAGCUCACUGGUCGAGUGAUCCUGCGCCGAAGAUUUCCGGGGCUAAAACUUACUACCGAAGCUACGGCAUCAGUAAUGAUGGGUAGGGGAGCUUCCCAUACGGGUUGAAGCAUGACCGUAAGGACAUGUGGACAGUAUGGGAGUGAGAAUGUUGGCAUGAGUAGCGAGAUGUGGGUGAGAAUCCCACAGGCCGUAAACCCAAGGUUUCCAGGGGAAGGUUCGUCCGCCCUGGGUUAGUCGGGACCUAAGCUGAGGCCGAAAGGCGUAGGUGAUGGACAACAGGUUGAUAUUCCUGUACUACCGAUAACCGUUUGAGAGAAGGGAUGACACAGUAGGAUAAGCUAAGCACACUGUUGGUUAUGUGUGCCCAAGCAUUGAGGCAGUCAAAGUAGGCAAAUCCGCUUUGAUAAUGCUGGGAUGUGAUGGGGAGCGAAAUUUAGUAGCGAAGUAGCUGAUUUCACACUGUCAAGAAAAGUCUCUAUCGAGGUUAAAGGUACCCGUACCGCAAACCGACACAGGUGGGUGAGGAGAGUAUCCUAAGGCCAGCGAGAGAACUGUUGUUAAGGAACUCGGCAAAAUGACCCCGUAACUUAGGGAUAAGGGGUGCCACCAUCAGGUGGCCGCAGAGAAUAGGCCCAAGCGACUGUUUACCAAAAACAUAGGUUUCUGCUAAGUCGCAAGACGAUGUAUAGGAGCUGACGCCUGCCCGGUGCUGGAAGGUUAAGGGGAUCUGUUAGAGCAAUCGAAGCAGUGAACUUAAGCCCCAGUAAACGGCGGCCGUAACUAUAACGGUCCUAAGGUAGCGAAAUUCCUUGUCGGGUAAGUUCCGACCCGCACGAAAGGCGUAACGAUUUGGGCACUGUCUCAACAACAGACUCGGUGAAAUUGUAAUUCCGGUGAAGAUGCCGGAUACCUGCGACAGGACGGAAAGACCCCAUGGAGCUUUACUGUAGCUUGACAUUGGGUCUUGGUACUACAUGUACAGGAUAGGUGGGAGGCUUUGAAACCAGGACGCCAGUUUUGGCGGAGCCAUCCUUGGGAUACCACCCUUGUAGUACUGGGACUCUAACCA